GUUUCUUCUCCAAAAUCCCUGGUUGAAUCAUGGAUAAGAGCAUGUUAGCUGGUUUUGAAUCACUUCUAGAAGCUGAUCAGCAAAGAAUGGCAUCCAUGAUGGAAUAGGUUCAAAUUUGUGACAGUGCUAAAAAACGUGAUCACUAUUACUCACUUGCGAAAGAUUUUCUCGAGAUUACACCUCGGAAGACAAUUGGAGAAUUGAAGGAAUGUAAAGAGGAUGGUGAUUAUGCUGUGUAUGGUACAAUUAUGGGAGUGAUUGGUGGAACUGAUUGGUUUGUUGCUCAAUGUAGAUGUGGCACUAAAAUUGUUCUAAAGCUUGGGUCAUACU